GGUAUUGUGGGCCUACCGGACAACCCCCAGAACCACAACCGGUCACUCGCCGUUCUCAAUGGCAUACGGUUGUGAAGCAAUGGUCCCGGUGGAAACAUUAUUCCCAUCCCACAGGAGAACGACUUAUGAUCCGGCCACCAAUCAGGCCCUGCUCCAAGAAGCUCUGGAUCAAGUCGAAGAACUCCGGGAUGAGUCCCAAAUACGGAUGGCCGCUUAUCAAAAGAAGGUGACCAAGUAUUUUAACUCCAAGGUUAAAAACAGAAAAUUCGCUAUCGGUGACAUGGUCCUAAGAAGGGUCUUCCCAGCCACCCAAGAACCCGGAGUGGGGGUACUUGGACCAAAUUGGGAAGGACCAUAUGAAAUCGAGGACGAAAUCGGCUCUGGCACUUACAAACUGAAAAGAAUGGACGGAACUACUGUCCCAAGAGCCUGGAAUGCCGAUCACCUCAGAAAAUACUACCAGUAGCGAAUUAAACUUAGCUUUUGUUUAAAGGGUUUGUACCGUCCAAAUGUAUGCCUCCUCUAUAUUAAAUAAAACUGAGUGCCUUAAAAACAAAGUUUCUAUGCCACUCAGGGGGGUACUAGGGUAUACCGCACGGACAAACAAAAACAAGCUAAGUAAAACAUCCUGACCCAAAGGGCAGGUCAAGCUAAGUAAAACAUCCUGACCCAAAGGGCAGGUCAUAAACAUGCGCAAAAAAUAAAAGGCGUAAGUAUGAAAUCCUGAGCCAAAGGACAGGUUGAAAUAUAUAAAGUGUGGAAAAAAGAUCGCACGUAUAUAUAUAAAAAAAAUAUAUAUAUAAUAAAAUAUCCUAACCCGAAGGUUAGGUCAUACACAUAUAAAUGGCCCGGGGACAGGCCUUAAAUUGUCUCCCCUUUAAAUAAAGGCUGCCGCCUGUAAGUAAACUGUUCUAAGGCAGCAGCAAAUAUGUACAAAGAAAAAAAAAGGGAG